GACCUCCUCGUCGACGAGGUCAACCUCCCAUUCAAAUGCAGGUGCUCCCCCUCCGUGCCCUCUCUCUCCUCCCUGACCCUCGUGCUGGAUCGGGUGGCGGUUCGAGGCGAAGAUGGCGGAGCUUGGGCGAAUGGCGGAGGAGGCCGGCGACACGGACCAACGGAGGGGAAUGGAAAAAGGCGAGAGGUUUCUUGUGGCAGCGAAGGAGAGGACGACGACGGGGAGAGAUGAUCCAGGCGGCGGCCCUGCUCGACAAGAUCCUCGCGUUCGCGUCAAGGGAGCCGUGUGCUUCUUCUCGGGACACCGAUGCCACGUAGCUCGUCAAGCUCCUUCUCUGCUGCGGGAGGAUUGAUUGGGUUGGAUUGGUAUCUACUUGCUUUGUUCUCUAUUUGAGAACCUGAGAUGCAGCCCUCCAAAUCUUCGGCCCUAGGAUAUAAGGAGGUUUGGUUUUGCUUCUACUCUACAUUCACUGUUGUUACCAGCACUUUGCCACUCAUGGAAGCUUCUUCGUUUAUUUUUUAUGCAUGUGUGAUGUCUGUGAUAGGAGAGCAAGUUCCUCAAGUUCAUGAGGAAUCCCCUCUCAACUUGUUAGCACAGUGGUGAACUGGUGAUCCAUUAGGAGAAAACCUGGCCGAUAAUCUAAAGGGAGUUCAGGUAAAUGCUUUACUUUAGUUCCUGCACUUGAAUUUAACUGCUAUCUAACUUUACCUUGACAAUACCCAGCAACAAAUCAGUAUCUUAUGUUAUUAUCCAAGGAAUUUCUACAGCUUGGUGUUUUCUUGGAAUCGUGUUCCUGUCUGGCUACUAUUUGUUUGGUCAAUUUAGUCAUUGAUCUUCCAUUUCCCAAAAAUUAUUGGAAUGUUCAUAUCCUAUUGGCCUCAACACAACGAUGUUGAAUCUUAAAAUCGUUUGCCUACCAGGAUUUAUUUUGAAUAUUUAUUAAGAUGAUUCUGAAGCUAAUGGAUAAUGAGUAAAUACUCUAUUCUUGAAUAUUAUACGCAAAUCAACUUGGUUGUGCUCAUGUGGAUUAUUUAUUUCCAACAAUGCCAUCAAACCUUCAGAGGUACCGUCUAGCAAUCAUCUGUUUUUUUGUUGCAGGUUCCUCGCCGGUUUCCCUUUGCUGCACCUUUGUUUGGUUUCUCUAACGUGAGAGAACCUCUCUACGUUUGUAUGCUGAUUUGGGUUGGACUGGAUAUUCACAAAACUUUAUAUCAUAUACUUUGGGCAUCGCUAAAACAACUGAAUGUCAAAGCUACAUGAUUUUAAAAAACCUUUUUGACAAUAGCCACACCCAAAAAAUCAUAGUUAUAUGUGUGGUGUGAUGAUGGUCAUUCUUCAAUUUAAAAGUAAACAAGCAACCUCCAUUAAGGUCUACCGACAAUCAUGUAGGCAAUGCGUAGUCUUAAUGUAAGGAGGUGCCGAGAUACACGAGGGGUUGGAGUAGGACUGCGGGAGGAGAUGAGGACAUGUUUUGUUUUAGAUCUACCUGAUUAAUCCCAAGUUUUUGCAAGUACAAUAGCGUUCCCUUUUCUACGGGUUCCCUUUUCCCACACAUGGAUCCUGACCGUGGUGAGCUGACAAUCACUACUCGAGAUGGAACUACCGCUGUCACAUCCCGCUUUAUCAAGGGUGUUGACAAAAGGCCACCAUCACUACAGGCUGGAGCAACUUCUUCCGUGAGGCACACAUGAAAUAGGGCAAGCAUAUACUUUCGCCUUCAAAUGCACUUCCAAGGACUGCGCCUGAUCGUCUACUCAAUAUAAGCAAGUUGCAUAAGCCCCUUGUUAUACAACUUAAUGUACUCAACCUAUUGAUGCACAUGGACAUGAUGACUCUCUAGCGUUUAUGGACCAAACAACCUGUAAUCAUGGACCUUAUUGUCUUGUAGACCAUUUGGUGUUUCGAAUGUUUUGGAGCUUGCACUUUGUGCAUGUAGAUACAAACUUGUGUGUUCUGGACCAUCUGAAGUCUCUCAUAGUAACCAAUAGUCCUUAUCUUUUUGUGACUUGUGUGUUCUAGAUGAUUGUUAAGAUGGUCAAAACUAUGCUUUCUCUAGGUUAAUUUGUUUGUCAACCUGCGUUCAAUGUAUCUGCAUGUUUAUAAACAUAUUUUCAUUAUGGUGUAAUAUGUGUUUAUCUUGAA